rnacentral:rRNA from 1 species
AGGAUGAACGCUAGCGGCGCGCUUAACGCACGCGAGUCGAGCGAUGAGGCUCCCUUCGGGGGGUACGUCAGCGGGAGACGGGUGAGUAACACGUAGGUAACCUGCCCUCAAGACAGGGAUAACGCCUGGAAACGGGCGCUAAUACCGGAUGACCUUAGUUGGGGAAGCACCGGCUAAUGAAAGGCUUUGGCGCUUGAUGAGGGGCCUGCGGCCCAUCAGUUACUUGGUAGGGUAACGGCCUACCAUUGCGACGACCGGUACGGGGUGUGAGAGCACGGGCCCCCACACUGGGACUUAAACACGGGCCAUACUCCUACUGGAGGCAGCAGCGGGGAAUAUUGCGCAAUGGACGGAAGUCAGACGCAGCAACGCCGCGUGCGUGAAGAAAGCCUUCGGGUUGUAAAGCCCUUUUCUGUGGGAAGAGAACAGGACGGUACCAUAGGAAUAAGCGUCAGCUAACUACGUGCCAGCAGCCGCGGUAAGACGUAGGACGCGAGCGUUGUCCGGAUUUACUGGGCGUAUAGCGUGUGUAGGCGGCGUGACCAGUUGGGCGUGAGAGCCCCGUGCUCGACGCGGGGAGGCCGUUCAAUACUGUCAGGCUAGAGGGCAUCCUAGGGGUGUGGAAUUCCCGGAGUAGCGGUAAAAUGCGCAGAUAUCGGGAGGAACACCGGUGGCGAAA